rnacentral:lncRNA from 1 species
GACAGUUUAAUAUGUUGGUCAGACAUGCUUUGACAGGGAAAGAUUAUGGGAAUCCAACGACAAAAGAUGGAGUUUUUCAAAAUACAGAAACAUUGAGAUGUAUUGACAUAUUUCAGCAACUUAUAAUGUCUUGGUUCAACCUCCAACUCGAAACUACUCAUCCUUUUUAUUUUGUUUUUGUGUUUGACUGAGACUGAAACCUGCCUUCAUUGAACCCAGGAGAAACUUAGACCAUUAUCUGUUCCACACGCUCUCUUCAAAAGGUGGUCCCCCAUGCCAAACCUUUCC